rnacentral:rRNA from 14 species
GAGUCGAGUUGUUUGGGAUUGCAGCUCAAAGUGGGUGGUAAAUUCCAUCUAAAGCUAAAUAUUGGCGAGAGACCGAUAGCGAACAAGUACCGUGAGGGAAAGUUGAAAAGAACUCUGAAUAGAGAGUUAAAUAGUACGUGAAACCGUAUAGAGGUUAAGCUCGUUGAAUCUAAAUAUCUGGCUGUUGGAAUUCAAUAUCG